GAUGAAGAACGUAGCGAAAUGCGAUAAGUAGUGUGAAUUGCAGAAUUCAGUGAAUCAUCGAAUCUUUGAACGCACAUUGCGCCCCUUGGUAUUCCAUGGGGCAUGCCUGUUCGAGCGUCAUUUGUACCUUCAAGCUUUGCUUGGUGUUGGGUGUUUGUCCUGAGGGACUCGCCUUAAAGUAAUUGGCAGCCAGUGUUUGGUUUUGAGGCGCAGCACAAGUCGCGAUUCAAGGCUAUACACCAGCUUCCACAAGCCUUUUUCACUUUUGACCUCGGAUCAGGUAGGGAUACCCGCUGAACUUAAGCAUAUCAAUAAGCGGAGGA
rnacentral:misc_RNA from 1 species